GGCAAUGUGCCUGAACAGUUAAAGGAUCACUAUGAUAAAGUGAACAUAGAGGUAUAGUAACCCUCUCAUUGCCU
rnacentral:tRNA from 1 species